GAUGAACGCUAGCUACGGGCUUAACACAUGCAAGUCAAGGGGAAACGACAUCGAAAGCUUGCUUUUGAUGGGCGUCGACCGGCGCACGGGUGAAUAACGCGUAUCCAACCUGCCCAUCACUUGGGGAUAACCUUGCGAAAGUAAGACUAAUACCCAAUGAUAUCUCUAGAAGACAUCUGAAAGAGAUUAAAGAUUUAUCGGUGAUGGAUGGGGAUGCGUCUGAUUAGCUUGUUGGCGGGGUAACGGCCCACCAAGGCAACGAUCAGUAGGGGUUCUGAGAGGAAGGUCCCCCACAUUGGAACUGAGACACGGUCCAAACUCCUACGGGAGGCAGCAGUGAGGAAUAUUGGUCAAUGGGCGAGAGCCUGAACCAGCCAAGUAGCGUGCAGGAAGACGGCCCUAUGGGUUGUAAACUGCUUUUAUAAGGGAAUAAAGUGAGAGUCGUGACUCUUUUUGUAUGUACCUUAUGAAUAAGGACCGGCUAAUUCCGUG
rnacentral:rRNA from 1 species